rnacentral:tRNA from 1 species
GCUCCCGUAGCCCAAUCGGCAGAGGCAGACGGCUUAAAACCGUCAAAGUGUGGGUUCGAAUCCCACCGGGAGCACCA